rnacentral:pre_miRNA from 2 species
GCCCCCUCCUUUAUAAGGGCUCGUGUCGGUGCUCACCGUUCCCUGUAACGGUGCCUUACAUGGGCCCGUGGAACGGC